CCGAGCCUAGGAUGGUUCAAACUAAAAGAGGGCAGGUGUAGCAGGGUAUAAGGAAAACAUUUCUGAUGCUAAGAGCUGUGAGGCGGUGGCUCAGGGUACACAGAGCAGCAGCAGCACCCUGUCCCUUCACACACCCGAGCUCAGGGGACAGACGUGAGCACUGAUGGAGCUGUGCUGUCCCUGCUCAGUGCACGCAGUGGGACCAGGUGGCCCCGAAGGGCCCAUCCCUUCCGGCUCAGAGCAUUCCUUGAAAGACCAAAACACAACAAGUGCAAGGAAAGCCUAUGGUGACCUCAGCGUGGCUGAACUGAGGCUGUGGAGAGGCAGGAGUGGGGCGGCUUGGUGAGGAGCCAGAAACGAGCCUGCCAGCUCCAGGCCUGCUCAGGUGGCACAGCUGGGAAGAGCACCACCAGCACAGUGAAUUUAUACCAUCACCUGCAUCCAAACAAUAACUCACCAGAUAGACUCGCACGUGGCUGCGGAAGAGACAAGGUAACGCUUUAGGAGCUGCCUAUAAAUCAGUUCUCUUCCUAGAUACUGAACUACAGCAGAGAAAUGCUCAGUGCUCUUUGACAGUCGUUAUGACUAGUGGGGGAUCACUCUCUGAUACCACCUCUUACAUUUAUCCUGGCUCCCUUAUGCAGUAUCCUGGGUUUUACCAUUAGUAGAGAAGGAGUUUAAUAUAUGACAAGAACAACCCUGAAGCCCAAUGAAAAACAAGCCAACAUUUGUUACUUUGAGGACCCGAGGAAGAAGGAAAGGGUUGAUUCCUCAUAUCAGACAGCACGAGGCCUCAACUAACACAUUUUUUUCAUAGAGUGCACAACGUCAUAGACUGGAAAAGCACAUCUUUUAACUACUGUGGGAAAUCAGUAGAUCAAAUUGAGCUACUUCAUAAUUUUGCUGCAGGCUGUACACGGGGCUGUUCACUCUCAACAAUAGGAAGUACGUGCUGUAGCCAAGAGCUCUCGUACAUUCUCCUGCCAAUGGCUUACAUUAAAUUGAGGGAUUCAAAACAAGAAGGAAAAAGCACACGUCUCAUCAGUAACAUGCCUCAUCAGCUCUCUCUUCCCAGAAGGCAGCCAGGCUGACUCCACAGAGACAGAGAGGCCCAAACCAAAGGAAAGGAAGCUCCUACAAUUUCACAGCUACUAACACAGAAAUGCUUCUGCAUGGUACUGCCUCUCCGUGGAGCCCGGCUACUUUGACCUGUACAGCAGGAGAAGAAAGUUAUUAAAAAUUUCAAGUCUGAGCACGAAUUUCCACUGAAAGAAGAUGAAAGUGAAAUGUGAAGUUGCAGAGAAGGGCAUUUUGGUAAAUCCCUGCACAACAUAUGCCACUGAGAAGCUUGUAAAUAGUAUAGCCAUUAUCCCAAAUCCUCAAAACAUCAAAAACAAAGCAUCAGGGCUAAGUGUGUCCUGCCACCCAGGUGUAAUGCAAUGCCUGACUAAGAAAAAAACACCACCAAGUCUCUGUCUCUUAUUAACCAUUACUGGCAAGGUGGCCUGUUGGCUUUCCUGUCCCCAGCACAGAGAGACGAGGGACAGGCAAGAGAUCCAUCU
rnacentral:lncRNA from 1 species